rnacentral:rRNA from 1 species
UACGAGGGGGGCAAGCGUUGUUCGGAAUUAUUGGGCGUAAAGCGAACGUAGGCGGUGUUCCAUGUCAGAGGUGAAAGCCUGGGGCUCAACUCCAGAAUUGCCUUUGAAACGGGAACGCUUGAGUCCGAGAGAGGAUGGCGGAAUUCCUAGUGUAGAGGUGAAAUUCGUAGAUAUUAGGAAGAACACCGGUGGCGAAGGCGGCCAUCUGGCUCGGUACUGACGCUCAGGUUCGAAAGCGUGGGGAGCAAACAGG